GAUGAACGCUGGCGGCGUGCUUAACACAUGCAAGUCGAACGGAAAGGCCAGUGCUUGCACUGGUGCUCGAGUGGCGAACGGGUGAGUAACACGUGGGUGAUCUGCCCUGCACUUUGGGAUAAGCCUGGGAAACUGGGUCUAAUACCAGAUAGGACCAUGCUUUGGAUGGUGUGGUGGAAAGUUUUUUCGGUGUGGGAUGAGCUUGCGGCCUAUCAGCUUGUUGGUGGGGUAAUGGCCUACCAAGGCGUCGACGGGUAGCCGGCCUGAGAGGGUGUACGGCCACAUUGGGACUGAGAUACGGCCCAGACUCCUACGGGAGGCAGCAGUGGGGAAUAUUGCACAAUGGGCGCAAGCCUGAUGCAGCGACGCCGCGUGGGGGAGGGCGGCCUUCGGGUUGUAAACUCCUUUCGCAACUGACGAAGCUUUUUGUGACGGUAGGUUGAGAAGAAGCACCGGCUAACUACGUG
rnacentral:rRNA from 1 species